UGACGGUUUUAUGAGGGGCUUUUCCCUCUUUUGCUCAGCAUUUCUCCUUGCUGCCGCCAGGUGAAGAAGGACGUGUUUGCUUCCCUUUCUGCCAUGAAUGUUUCCUGAGGCCUCUCCAGCCCUGUGGAAAUAAUGAAGAUCUGAAAAGGAAGAGAUUAUCUCCUCUUUAAUGCUGUAUCCCAAAGCCUAGAAGAACCAGAGACUUACUAGCUAAUCAAUAAAUAUUGCUGAGUAAAUAAAUGACAGACAUUUGCAUGCAGGCCUCAAGGAGCAGCUGAAGUGAUAGAGGUAGAAUGAGGCAAUAAAUUAUUAGCAAAGAGAGCGGAGUAUUUACAGGCAGCGAUAUACUAAUGAACCUAAAAAUUUGGAGAAUAUUUGGAAAAAUAAAAGAGCUUGCAUCCCUGGAAUGCAACGAAAAGAAAAGUGCUCAAAAAGUGAUAAUAUACACAGUGUCAAUUUGUUCACUGCUUUUUUGGAAUGUUUGAAAUUUAUUGUAAGUAGAUCAUUUAUCCAUUAGAGUGACUAAGUGUUUUAAGAGUAUAGUUCUAUAAUCCCAUUCAAUUAGCUUUUAUUUAAUGGGUUCCUUCUGGUGGUGGACAUUUGAGUUGUUUACAGUUAUUAAGAAUAAAACUACUAUAAACA
rnacentral:lncRNA from 10 species